rnacentral:rRNA from 1 species
UUGAACGCUGGCGGCAGGCCUAACCCAUGCAAGUCGAACGGUAACAGGAAACAGCUUGCUGUUUCGCUGACGAGUGGCGGACGGGUGAGUAAUGUCUGGGAAACUGCCUGAUGGAGGGGGAUAACUACUGGAAACGGUAGCUAAUACCGCAUAACGUCGCAAGACCAAAGAGGGGGACCCUCGGGCCUCUUGCCAUCGGAUGUGCCCAGAUGGGAUUAGCUUGUUGGUGGGGUAACGGCUCACCAAGGCGACGAUCCCUAGCUGGUCUGAGAGGAUGACCGGCCACACUGGAACUGAGACACGGUCCAGACUCCUACGGGAGGCAGCAGUGGGGAAUAUUGCACAAUGGGCGCAAGCCUGAUGCAGCCAUGCCGCGUGUAUGAAGAAGGCCUUCGGGUUGUAAAGUACUUUCAGCGGGGAGGAAGGGAGUAAAGUUAAUACCUUUGCUCAUUGACGUUACCCGCAGAAGAAGCACCGGCUAACUCCGUG